rnacentral:rRNA from 1 species
GGGUAGAGCACUGUUUCGGCUAGGGGGCCAUCCCGGCUUACCAACCCGAUGCAAACUGCGAAUACCGGAGAAUGUUAUCACGGGAGACACACGGCGGGUGCUAACGUCCGUCGUGAAGAGGGAAACAACCCAGACCGCCAGCUAAGGUCCCAAAGUCAUGGUUAAGUGGGAAACGAUGUGGGAAGGCCCAGACAGCCAGGAUGUUGGCUUAGAAGCAGCCAUCAUUUAAAGAAAGCGUAAUAGCUCACUGGUCGAGUCGGCCUGCGCGGAAGAUGUAACGGGGCUAAACCAUGCACCGAAGCUGCGGCAGCGAACGUAUCACUUAAAGCGAUUCAGCGGGUUACGAUUGACGGAGCGAAGCGACGUCAAAGCGUAUACAAAGUCGAGUCGGUUUAAGGAUACGUUCGUUGGGUAGGGGAGCGUUCUGUAAGCCUGUGAAGGUGUCCUGUGAGGGAUGCUGGAGGUAUCAGAAGUGCGAAUGCUGACAUAAGUAACGAUAAAGCGGGUGAAAAGCCCGCUCGCCGGAAGACCAAGGGUUCCUGUCCAACGUUAAUCGGGGCAGGGUGAGUCGACCCCUAAGGCGAGGCCGAAAGGCGUAGUCGAUGGGAAACGGGUUAAUAUUCCCGUACUUGGUGUUACUGCGAAGGGGGGACGGAGAAGGCUAUGUUGGCCGGGCGACGGUUGUCCCGGUUUAAGCGUGUAGGCUGGUUUUCCAGGCAAAUCCGGAAAAUCAAGGCUGAGGCGUGACGACGAGGCACUACGGUGCUGAAGCAACAAAUGCCCUGCUUCCAGGAAAAGCCUCUAAGCAUCAGGUAACAUCAAAUCGUACCCCAAACCGACACAGGUGGUCAGGUAGAGAAUACCAAGGCGCUUGAGAGAACUCGGGUGAAGGAACUAGGCAAAAUGGUGCCGUAACUUCGGGAGAAGGCACGCUGACAUGUAGGUGAAGUGAUUUACUCAUGGAGCUGAAGUCAGUCGAAGAUACCAGCUGGCUGCAACUGUUUAUUAAAAACACAGCACUGUGCAAACACGAAAGUGGACGUAUACGGUGUGACGCCUGCCCGGUGCCGGAAGGUUAAUUGAUGGGGUCAGCGCAAGCGAAGCUCCUGAUCGAAGCCCCGGUAAACGGCGGCCGUAACUAUAACGGUCCUAAGGUAGCGAAAUUCCUUGUCGGGUAAGUUCCGACCUGCACGAAUGGCGUAAUGAUGGCCAGGCUGUCUCCACCCGAGACUCAGUGAAAUUGAACUCGCUGUGAAGAUGCAGUGUACCCGCGGCAAGACGGAAAGACCCCGUGAACCUUUACUAUAGCUUGACACUGAACAUUGAGCCUUGAUGUGUAGGAUAGGUGGGAGGCUUUGAAGCGUGGACGCCAGUCUGC